AGAGAGGGGAUGGAGGAAUGAAUUUCCGACCACCUACCUGUCGGGAACGGCGUCGGCGGCUGGGGGAGAUCCUCGGCGACGGUGACUGGGGCAAACCGCGACGGCGAGCCGCCGCGCAUACAGCAGCGGUGGCGGUAGCGUGGUGGCGGCGUGAGCGUAGCCGAGAAAGAGAAGAGGAGAAAGAGAGGAGCACGGCGUGAAGGCUUUAAACGAAUGAGGUUGAGCGGUGACGAGCGCGGUGGGUGUUGAGCAUGAAAGUGAAGAAGAUUAUAAAUAAAAAUUUCUGAAUAUAUUAUGUCUUCAUACAUAAUAAUAUUCUACUCUCGAAAUGCUUCCGCUGAAUAUGGUUUCUUUCGCCAAGUAUUGUGCUCGAAAAUUUUAUAUCGAGUUCCUGAUUGUUGAAAAGACACUCUGAUUUUAUUCGAGCUUUUCCCAUUUGUUUGGAGCUAAAGUCGAGUUUGCACUCUGUGUAUCAUACACUCUGAUAUAUAUUAUUCUUUUAAGCUAA